rnacentral:rRNA from 1 species
AACGAACGCUGGCGGCAGGCUUAACACAUGCAAGUCGAGCGCCCCGCAAGGGGAGCGGCAGACGGGUGAGUAACGCGUGGGAAUCUACCUUUUGCUACGGAAUAACUCAGGGAAACUUGUGCUAAUACCGUAUGUGCCCUUCGGGGGAAAGAUUUAUCGGCAAAGGAUGAGCCCGCGUUGGAUUAGCUAGUUGGUGAGGUAAAGGCUCACCAAGGCGACGAUCCAUAGCUGGUCUGAGAGGAUGAUCAGCCACACUGGGACUGAGACACGGCCCAGACUCCUACGGGAGGCAGCAGUGGGGAAUAUUGGACAAUGGGCGCAAGCCUGAUCCAGCCAUGCCGCGUGAGUGAUGAAGGUCUUAGGAUUGUAAAGCUCU